rnacentral:rRNA from 1 species
GAUGAACGCUAGCGGGAGGCUUAACACAUGCAAGUCGAGGGGCAGCAUAGGGUAGCAAUACUCUGAUGGCGACCGGCAAACGGGUGAGUAACGCGUAUGCAACCUACCCUGUACAGGGGGAUAACCCGGAGAAAUUCGGACUAAUAUCCCGUAAUAAUAUCCGGAGGCAUCUUUGGAUAUUUAAAGUUCCGACGGUACGGGAUGGGCAUGCGUAACAUUAGCUAGUUGGUAAGGUAACGGCUUACCAAGGCUAUGAUGUUUAGGGGUCCUGAGAGGGUGGUCCCCCACACUGGUACUGAGACACGGACCAGACUCCUACGGGAGGCAGCAGUGAGGAAUAUUGGUCAAUGGGCGCAAGCCUGAACCAGCCAUCCCGCGUGCAGGAAGACGGCCCUAUGGGUUGUAAACUGCUUUUCCAGGGAGAGAAACUUACGCACGUGUUGCGUGACUGACGGUACCCUGGGAAUAAGCAUCGGCUAACUCCGUGCCAGCAGCCGCGGUAAGCACGAGAGUA